rnacentral:sRNA from 1 species
UGCAUGUUGUAGUAAAAAAAUGGGCUCAUGUUUCUGGAGUAUUUUUCGUUGUGUGUAGUGCAAUACAGGAACUUUAAAGAACACCAUGGGACCCAUGUGAAAUGCCACUAGUGAAGCUGGGAGUGCGCCCAAGAACAGAGAAAAGUCACAACAUGACAAGAAAAACUUAAAUUGCUUGAUACAUACUAGAGAUUGAAUGGUUGCCCUCCACACCACACAGAUAAUUCAUUGUGUCAACAUGUAGACUUACAGAAUCGAAUGCAGUACAGUCCCAUAAUUGUGUUGUCUCUUACGAUUUUCUUAAUAACAUUUUUUUCUCUAGCUUCCUUAUAAAAAUAUGGUGUAGAAUACAUAUACGAAAUAUAUGUUAAUUAACUGUUUAUGUUAUCAUUAAGGCUUCUGGUCAACAGUAGGCUACUAGUAGGUAAGUUUUGGGGGAGUCAAAAGCUAUACUCGGAUUUUUUAUUUCAAGGGGCGUCAUUGCUCCUAAUCCCUGUGUUGAUCAGGGUCAGCGGCGCUCAGGCUCCUGGAGGCUGGUACAGGGCAUCACUCCCUGUUCCGAACUCAACAUUGCCCUUUCCUGCUGUGGCGUUUGUCACAUGCCGGGCCUCGGGGCUCCCAGGCCGGUGACUAACUGUGGCUUCUCCUCUCCAGUAUGGAAUGCUCCUUUACCAGAAUUACCGAAUCCCUCAGCAGAGGAAGGCCUUGCUGUCCCCGUUCUCGACGCCAGUGCGCAGUGUCUCCGAGAACUCCCUCGUGGCAAUGGAUUUUUCUGGGCAAACAGGACGCGUGAUAGAGAAUCCGGCGGAGGCCCAGAGCGCAGCCCUGGAGGAGGGCCACGCCUGGAGGAAGCGAAGCACACGGAUGAACAUCCUAGGUAGCCAAAGUCCCCUCCACCCUUCUACCCUAAGUACAGUGAUUCACAGGACACAGCACUGGUUUCACGGGAGGAUCUCCAGGGAGGAAUCCCACAGGAUCAUUAAACAGCAAGGGCUCGUGGAUGGGCUUUUUCUCCUCCGUGACAGCCAGAGUAAUCCAAAGGCAUUUGUACUCACACUGUGUCAU